rnacentral:rRNA from 1 species
CCCUUAGAUGUUCUGGGCCGCACGCGCGCUACACUGAUGAAUGCAACGAGCUCUACCCUUGACCGAAAGGCCCGGGUAAACUUGUGAAACUUCAUCGUGAUGGGGAUAGAUUAUUGCAAUUAUUAAUCUUCAACGAGGAAUUCCUAGUAAGCGCGAUUCAUCAGCUCGCGUUGAUUACGUCCCUGCCCUUUGUACACACCGCCCGUCGCUCCUACCGAUUGAAUGGUCCGGUGAAAUCUUCGGAUUGCUGACCAAGAUCCAGCAAUGGAGCUUGGUUGCGAGAAGUUGAUUAAACCUUAUUAUUUAGAGGAAGGAGAAGUCGUAACA